GACGAACGCUGGCGGCGUGCUUAACACAUGCAAGUCGAGCGGAAAGGCCACUUCGGUGGUACUCGAGCGGCGAACGGGUGAGUAACACGUGAGUAAUCUGCCCUGGACUUUGGGAUAGCCACCGGAGACGGUGAUUAAUACCGGAUACGACGACUCCACGCAUGUGGUGGUUGUGGAAAGUUUUUCGGUUCAGGAUGUGCUCGCGGCCUAUCAGCUUGAUGGUGGGGUAAUGGCCUACCAUGGCUUCGACGGGUAGCCGGCCUGAGAGGGUGACCGGCCACACCGGGCCUGGGACACGGCCCAGACUCCGACGGGAGGCAGCAGUGGGGAAUAUUGGACAAUGGGCGGAAGCCUGAUCCAGCAACGCCGCGUGAGGGAUGACGGCCUUCGGGUUGUAAACCUCUUUCAGUACCGACGAAGCGAAAGUGACGGUAGGUACAGAAGAAGCACCGGCCAACUACGUGCCAGCAGCCGCCGUAAUAC
rnacentral:rRNA from 1 species